AUCCAAAUCAUUUAUAUAUCAAGUGAACAACUGCGGCCCGAACACUGAACCCUGCGGGACACCACUUGUCACCAGCUACCAUUCUGAAAAAGAACCUUUUAUCCCA